AUGCCGUGGGGCCCUGUAGAAGAGGCAGUCAAUUCAUGUAGAGUACUUCAUACACAGCCUGGCACCCGAGGAAGUGCAGUCCCGCUGUCAUUGCCACAAAGAGCCGGAAAGAGUGCCCUGGGACUUACAGGUGGACCGGGGAGAAAGGAAACGGCCUGGAGUAGCGCUGCUCACCUGCUCAUUUGCAGAAGCCGUGAGAUUGGGCCCACUGUCCUGUCCCAAAGGAGAUGCCUGCCAAAAGGAAGUAGAAGGCUCAAGUCAAGAGAAGACACAGGACUGAUUCAAGGCUGUGGGGCACACUCAGGCUGCAAGGCACCUCUAGAGGAAGGAGCUUCCCCAGGUGUCAGACCUCAGAGGUGUCGUCUGAUUUCGUCACAGAUGUGAAUGCAAAGUUGACACCUUCCAAGCUGACUUCUCACCCUCUGCAACAUCUCCAUCACGUUUCUUAAGGGGCAUUGUUGAGAACCUUUGGACUUUUGAAGUCUUUUACCAAGAUAGUUUUUUAUAAAAAA
rnacentral:lncRNA from 1 species